ensembl:lncRNA novel transcript
GCACUACGACGCAGGUUCCGAGCCAAGGGCACUAGAUUUCUUACCGGAAGUGCCUGAGUGGGUUGUUGGGUGACGGGGACGCCUGAUGAUUCGACCUUAGGUCGGGACUCGGUUCUCCACUCGACUGCGGGAUCGGGAGGCCACUCGCGUCAGUGUCUGACUUCCUUUACCCUUCGCUAACCUAGAGGCAGCUUCCCCGGCUCCAGCCUUAGCCCUUUGCUGAGCCUGCGCGGCGUUCCGGUCUCUACUGGACAGACCCGCCUUCCCGGCAGCGGGCUAGGCCUGCUCUCCGCGCUGCUGGCCCCUCGGAAAACAUAACUUUUUGUUUACUUCAAACUGAUUUUACAACACGCUGCCCCCCCGCCUCCCCCGCUUCCCCCGCUUCCCCUUCCUCCUCCCGGCAGCAAUAAAAAUGCUCCCAGCCAACGCCGAGCUCCAAGCCCCUCCAGCUGACUGGACAUUCCCAGCCACACUUUCCUUCCCUUCGCUGCGUUAGUUCUGCAUUUUUAUUUUAAAGCAGCUGGUAGAACAGCUGUCUCCCUGUCUAAAAGCAAAAGCUGACUUAUCUGAUGUAGAAAUAAAAUGUCACUCACUUGAUGUAUA